rnacentral:tRNA from 1 species
CAAAAUGUAGCUCAACAAGAGUAUUUCGCUUACACCGAAAAGACAUCUGUAAAACCCAGAUCAUUUUGA